GGAGAGAUGGCUCAGUGGUUAAGAGCACUGACUGCUCUUCCAGAGGCCCUGAGUUCAAUUCUCAGCAACCACA
rnacentral:tRNA from 1 species